UACGAAGGGGGCUAGCGUUGCUCGGAAUCACUGGGCGUAAAGCGCACGUAGGCGGAUUGUUAAGUCAGGGGUGAAAUCCUGGAGCUCAACUCCAGAACUGCCUUUGAUACUGGCAACCUUGAGUCCGGGAGAGGUGAGUGGAACUGCGAGUGUAGAGGUGAAAUUCGUAGAUAUUCGCAAGAACACCAGUGGCGAAGGCGGCUCACUGGCCCGGUACUGACGCUGAGGUGCGAAAGCGUGGGGAGCAACAGG
rnacentral:rRNA from 1 species